CGCAGCGGCUAGUGAAAUCUUCUAGCCUAUCUAGUUCGGAGAUGUUAAAAAUAUAUGAGGAUAUCUGCUGUGAAGAGACCUAUAAGAGAUUGCCGGAGCCUAGAAGAAUUCAAAGGCAUCCAGCGGCCAUUCGAAGAGCGCUUUCUGAGGAAGGCCGUCAAGCUCACGUGAGGUACCCAUCGUCGCCGCCACCAACUAGUCAGCACAGAGGACUUGUUUCAUCGCUUGUCGACCGAGUGUUCACGGGCAAGACUCCUCAAUCGCAAGUCGCAGAAGAGA